UACGUAGGCAGCGAGCGUUGUUCGGAAUUACUGGGCGUAAAGAGUGUGUAGGCGGUGCUCUAAGUUCGGUGUGAAAUCUCCCGCUUAACUGGGAGGGUGCGCCGGAAACUGGAGUGCUCGAGCGUGGGAGAGGAAAGCGGAAUUCCUGGUGUAGCGGUGAAAUGCGUAGAUAUACAGGAGGAACACCUGCGGUGUAGACGGCUUUCUGGACCAUUGCUGACGCUGAGACACGAAAGCGUGGGUAGCAAACAGG
rnacentral:rRNA from 1 species